AUGGAGCUGGCCAUGCUAGAAGAGCUAGAAGAAGAUGGUCCCUUGUCCCCUGAGCUAUACAACAUCAAGGUUGAUGUUAGUACUGAGCUUCAUGACAUACUGGUGAAUGAGGAGAUAUAUUGGCUCCAACAGUCUCAUGAACGCUGGCUCUUGAAAGGGGACCUAAACACGGACUAUUAUCAUAAAAUUGCAAAUGGCCGAAAGAGGAAGAACACAAUUCACUCCCUUAAAGCUGGGGAUGCGGAGAUCGAGGGCACUGACAAUCUGAUUGCUCAUGCCACGGAGUAUUACAAAAAUCUGUUCGGACCUGGGUCCGGUAAUCUGUUCCACCUUGAUCCUGACACUUGGUCUGUUGAGGAAAAGCUCGAUGCUAGUGAUAAUGCUGAUUUGUGCCGUGAGUUCAUGGAGGAAGAGAUCAAGGAGGCGUUGUUCUCUAUGGCACAUAAUAGAGCCCCUGGCCCUGACAAUAUUCCUGUUGAAUUCUAUCAGGUAUGUUGGGAUAUCGUUAAAGAUGAUCUUGUGAGGCUUUUCGUGAGCUUUUAUAAUGGGACUUUGGAUGUUCAACGUCUUAACUAUGGGGUGAUCACCCUUUUGCCCAAGUCUUCGGGCACGGAUAAAAUCCAGCAAUUUAGACCUAUAUGUCUCCUGAGAUGUCCAUAUAAGCUUAUUACUAAAGUUUUGGAUCGGCGAGUGGAGAGGUACGCUGAUAAGCUCAUUAGCUCGACCCAAAAUGCUUUUAUCAAGGGAAGAAGCAUUAUGGACGGGGUGUUGUCGCUGCAUGAAAUUUUGAAUUAUACCCAUGUGAAAAAGAGGGUGGGGGUCGUCUUGAAGCUCGACUUUGAGAAAGCAUACGAUAAGGUGAACUGGGAAUUUUUGUUGGAAUGUCAUAAGCUUCGUGGUUUUAGUGACACGUGGUGCAACUGGAUUAAACAGAUCCUACUCAAUGGUACAGUUAGUAUCAAACUUAAUAAUCAGGUCGGUCCUUAUUUCCAGAGUGCUAAGGGUGUUCGACAAGGGGAUCCCCACUCCCCUUUCCUAUUUAAUCUAGCUGCUGAUUGUCUUGCGAAGAUGAUCUCCAAUGCCCAAAAUAAUAACUUGCUGGUGGGUUUGGCUUCGGAUCUUAUUCCUAAUGGAGUUGCGGUGCUCCAGUAUGCAGACGAUACUAUUAUCUGUCUGGAACACGAUGUUGAUAAGGCAGUAAACCUAAAGUUGCUGCUGUACAUCUUCGAGCUUAUGUCUGGUCUUAAAGUGAACUAUCAGAAAAGUGAGAUCUUCACUGUGGGGGCGAUGAGAGCACGGUGA
rnacentral:rRNA from 1 species